rnacentral:rRNA from 1 species
UGGGGAAUAUUGGACAAUGGGCGAAAGCCUGAUCCAGCCAUGCCGCGUGUGUGAAGAAGGUCUUCGGAUUGUAAAGCACUUUAAGUUGGGAGGAAGGGCAGUAAGCGAAUACCUUGCUGUUUUGACGUUACCGGCAGAAUAAGCACCGGCUAACUCUGUGCCAGCAGCCGCGGUAAUACAGAGGGUGCGAGCGUUAAUCGGAUUUACUGGGCGUAAAGCGUGCGUAGGCGGCUAAUUGAGUCGGAUGUGAAAUCCCCGAGCUUAACUUGGGAAUUGCAUUCGAUACUGGUUAGCUAGAGUGUGGGAGAGGAUGGUAGAAUUCCAGGUGUAGCGGUGAAAUGCGUAGAGAUCUGGAGGAAUACCGAUGGCGAAGGCAGCCAUCUGGCCUAACACUGACGCUGAGGUACGAAAGCAUGGGGAGCAAACAGG